rnacentral:rRNA from 1 species
AUUGAACGCUGGCGGCAUGCCUUACACAUGCAAGUCGAACGGUAACAGGUCUUCGGAUGCUGACGAGUGGCGAACGGGUGAGUAAUACAUCGGAACGUGCCCGAUCGUGGGGGAUAACGGAGCGAAAGCUUUGCUAAUACCGCAUACGAUCUACGGAUGAAAGCAGGGGACCGCAAGGCCUUGCGCGGACGGAGCGGCCGAUGGCAGAUUAGGUAGUUGGUGGGAUAAAAGCUUACCAAGCCGACGAUCUGUAGCUGGUCUGAGAGGACGACCAGCCACACUGAGACUGAGACACGGCCCAGACGCCGACGGGAGGCAGCAGUGGGGAAUUUUGGACAAUGGGCGCAAGCCUGAUCCAGCCAUGCCGCGUGGAGGAUGAAGGCCUUCGGGUUGUAAACUGCUUUUGUACGGAACGAAAAGACUCUUUCUAAUAAAGAGGGUCCAUGACGGUACCGUAAGAAUAAGCACCGGCUAACUACGUGCCAGCCGCCGCGGUAA